AGUGAACGCUGGCGGUAGGCCUAACACAUGCAAGUCGAACGGCAGCACAGUAAGAGCUUGCUCUUACGGGUGGCGAGUGGCGGACGGGUGAGGAAUACAUCGGAAUCUACUUUUUCGUGGGGGAUAACGUAGGGAAACUUACGCUAAUACCGCAUACGACCUACGGGUGAAAGCAGGGGAUCUUCGGACCUUGCGCGAUUGAAUGAGCCGAUGUCGGCUUAGCUAGUUGGCGGGGUAAAGGCCCACCAAGGCGACGAUCCGUAGCUGGUCUGAGAGGAUGAUCAGCCACACUGGAACGGAGACACUGGCCAGACUCCUACGGGAGGCAGCGGUGGGGAAUAUUGGACAAUGGGCGCAAGCCUGAUCCAGCCAUACCGCGUGGGUGAAGAAGGCCUUCGGGUUGUAAAGCCCUUUUGUUGGGAAAGAAAAGCAGCAGGUUAAUACCCCGCUGUUCUGACGGUACCCAAAGAAUAAGCACCGGCUAAGUUCGUG
rnacentral:rRNA from 1 species